rnacentral:tRNA from 1 species
GCGCUGGUGGUGUAAUGAGUAGGCGUUCUGAUUGGAACGCAGACGGCGCGGGUUCGAGUCCCGCCCGGCGCA